GUGAUGCAGAGUAAAACUCAAAAAACGGUACUCAGUUCGGAUUGAAGGCUGAAAAUUCGCCUUCAUGAAGCUGGAAUUGCUAGUAAUGGCAGGUCAGCAUACUGCCGUGAAUACGUUCCCGGGGCCUUGUACACACCGCCCGUCACACCAUGAGAGUUGGAGAUACCCGAAGCCUGUGAGCUAACAAACGAGGCAGCAGUCGAAGGUAGAAUCAAUGAUUGGGGUGAAGUCGUAACAAGGUAUC
rnacentral:rRNA from 1 species